GAUGAACGCUGGCGGCGUGCCUAAUACAUGCAAGUCGAGCGAACGGACGAGAAGCUUGCUUCUCUGAUGUUAGCGGCGGACGGGUGAGUAACACGUGGAUAACCUACCUAUAAGACUGGGAUAACUUCGGGAAAUCGGAGCUAAUACCGGAUAAUAUUUUGAACCGCAUGGUUCAAAAGUGAAAGACGGUCUUGCUGUCACUUAUAGAUGGAUCCGCGCUGCAUUAGCUAGUUGGUAAGGUAACGGCUUACCAAGGCAACGAUGCAUAGCCGACCUGAGAGGGUGAUCGGCCACACUGGAACUGAGACACGGUCCAGACUCCUACGGGAGGCAGCAGUAGGGAAUCUUCCGCAAAGGGCGAAAGCCUGACGGAGCAACGCCGCGUGAGUGAUGAAGGUCUUCGGAUCGUAAAACUCUGUUAUUAGGGAAGAACAUAUGUGUAAGUAACUGUGCACAUCUUGACGGUACCUAAUCAGAAAGCCACGGCUAACUACGUG
rnacentral:rRNA from 1 species